CUUGCAAACUGGAGAUGGCGACCGGCGCACGGGUGAGUAACACGUAUCCAACCUGCCGAUAACUCGGGGAUAGCCUUUCGAAAGAAAGAUUAAUACCCGAUGGCAUAAUAGAACCGCAUGGUUUGAUUAUUAAAGAAUUUCGGUUAUCGAUGGGGAUGCGUUCCAUUAGGCAGUUGGUGGGGGUAACGGCCCACCAAACCUUCGAUGGAUAGGGGUUCUGAGAGGAAGGUCCCCCACAUUGGAACUGAGACACGGUCCAAACUCCUACGGGAGGCAGCAUG
rnacentral:rRNA from 1 species